GGCAAGAUGGCCGAGUGGUCUAAGGCGCUGUGUUUAGGCAAGCUCCUCUGUAGAGCAGCUGAAACCGCAGUCUUUCGAGGCGUGGGUUCGAAUCCCACUCUUGUCA